rnacentral:rRNA from 1 species
UACAGAGGUCUCAAGCGUUGUUCGGAUUCAUUGGGCGUAAAGGGUGCGUAGGCGGCGCGGUAAGUCGGGUGUGAAAUCUCGGAGCUUAACUCCGAAACUGCAUUCGAUACUGCCGUGCUUGAGGACUGGAGAGGAGACUGGAAUUUACGGUGUAGCGGUGAAAUGCGCAGAUAUCGGGAGGAACACCUGUGGCGAAGGCGGCCCCCUGGUUGGAUACUGACGCUGAUACGCGAAAGCGUGGGGAGCAAACAGG